rnacentral:rRNA from 1 species
GACGAACGCUGGCGGCGUGCUUAACACAUGCAAGUCGAACGGAAAGGCCCUUCUUUUGUGGGGUGCUCGAGUGGCGAACGGGUGAGUAACACGUGAGUAACCUGCCCUUGACUUUGGGAUAACUUCAGUAAACUGUGGCUAAUACCGGAUAGGAGCUCCUGCUGCAUGGUGGGGGUUGGAAAGUUUCGGCGGUUGGGGAUGGACUCGCGGCUUAUCAGCUUGUUGGUGGGGUAGUGGCUUACCAAGGCUUUGACGGGUAGCCGGCCUGAGAGGGUGACCGGCCACAUUGGGACUGAGAUGAGGCCCAGACUCCUACGGGAGGAAGCAGUGGGGAGUAAUGCACAAUGGGCGGAAGCCUGAUGAAGCAACGCCGCGUGCGGGAUGGCGGCCUUCGGGUUGUAAACAGCUUUCGCCUGUGACGAAGCGGGAGUGACGGUAAUGGGUAAAGAAGCACCGGCUAACUACGUG